CUGAAAAGCAGGAGCCAACUGCAUGAGCACAUAUGAGUUGGAGCUCUCGGCAACAAAUGAAGCGGAAAAAGAAGUCAAACUUGAAUGAAAAGCCUUCGUGAAGCUCGCCACUGAACCAUGAGCAAGGAAGGCUUCCAGUUUAAAGAGAGGCUCAUGAUGGUAGAAGGCUUUACAAGCUCAGCCUGAACACCUGGAGAAAUUAUGUCCAGGAGGAAAGACAUUGGUGCUGCAGGCUUUAAAAAGAACAUUGAUGAAUAUAUGAGGAAUAGCUGAGGAUGUGCCGAAUUGUGAAAAUUUCUGCCUAGAAGCACAAAAUCAUGAAAAGUUGUCCUGAUUGCAGGUGGCGUAAAAGUCAGAGACUCACUCUAGCAUGAGACAUGUGAUAGAAUAAUCUGUCAGCAAACAGGCUUUCUCUAGGCAAGAAGUGGGUCUAUGGCAGUUACUUUCCACUUGCCCCUGCAGACUCUCUCUCCACCUUUCUCCACCCUGGUGGCCUGCUGACAUCCCCCCAAGGUAACUGACUUUUAGGGACUGCCUCCGUGGCUUCUCUUCCCUGUGGCUUCCAGUUGGAUACAAGUCCAGUUCACCCAAUAAGAGGUACCAGCAGGAGGUCAGAGGCAAGGAAGAGAAAGGCAUCAGUUCUCUCUCUGCUAGGUCAUAAGUUGGCAGUGUCUCAUUUUCUUUUCUAUAGCGUUGGCUAUGGCUCUCUCUGGGUCCUGGUAAACUUUCCCUCUCCUUCCUCUAAUGGCUUCCUGCUGUUGCUGGCUAUCAUGUGCUUCCUUGUGCCUGUUGGCUUCCCACAUCUUACAAAUAGUUCCUUUAUUAAAGUCUCCUCAAUUACCCAUUAGAAUGUAAUAUCUUUUAUUCUAAUAUAGGACUAAUAUAGGUGCCCAGAGAUACUUUUCUCUCAUUGCCUGGGGCUACAGUAGUAACCAUAAGGGCAUUAGGGAGCUUUACAACCCUCCUCCUACCCUCAUAAUUUCCACAGAGCCUCCCCUUCUUUGACAAUUGAUGUUAUCUCAACAAAGUAUAAAGGAUUCUAUAAAUGAGAAUUCAAUACCCUCUCCUUUUCAACAAGAUGACCCCUGCCCAACCCACCCCCCACAUAUAAACCAGCUCAUCUAUAUAAAAAUCUGGCUCUAUACCCAGGCUUAACAGGAUUAGCCAUGUCUGCACAGACAAAAUUAUCUGCUUUCCCUGCCAAUGCUCUUAGGCCAAUGUAAUCAGGUUAAAAUUUUCAUCAAAGUCAGUAUUGAAGGAGAGAAGAAAUCAUAAUAUAUGCAACGUAAAAUAAGUUAACACAAUAGUAUACUGAGUGAGGUUUUAAUUGUCGAUCCAUAAGAGGUGUCAAAGAACCCACAUUGUAAAGGGGGUUUCAAGUAAUUGGAACCAGAAGUUUCUGCCAGGUCUGGUACUUUGCAACCUCUUCUUAACCACAGCUCCUUCAGACCUCAGUCUAUAUAAACAGAAGACUAGAAAUUGAGGAGAGGAAAAAAGAUACAAUUGUUAGAAUCACUAGUUGUCGACUUUAAAGGAGAGUGCUGGCCAUUUGCCACCCAUCUUUGAACAAAAUGUGGAGUACAGGAAGUGCUUAUACCUCUCCAAAGGAAAAUGAAAGAAAGUUGAAGUGAAUCGUCUACAAACAUUGACGGACCUUCAAGAAGAAAAGAACAUCAUCUCAUUUACCAUUAUACAGACAUCACUUUUAAUAGUUAUUUAGAUCAACAGACUGGCUGGUCUUCCCUUUUCAGAAGGGGGGUGGGGUUGGGGGAAUAAAGGAAGACAACAAGAAAGUCAAAGGAAAGGAAUAUGAACAGCCUGCCCUCAGACCCAUGCUGGAACUAUCUUACUGGAAUCCCACUUGAGAAGACUGGCUGCUUGGGAGUUGCUCCAACACCAGGAGUCUGUGGGGUUUACUGCUGGGGUCAAGAGCUGGAAAGGAGUUGGCAAACAGCAGGGCUAUAGCAGAAUUCCUAUACAGGCAACUGUGCAGUGAGAAACACCCUUCUCCCACUCACAGCCCCCUGAAGAGCCCAUCCCUGUGCCCUGUAGAGCCGGCAGAUCAGCGUCAGUUCCAGAGAGUGUAUCAAGUUGCUGUCAGUGUUACCCAAAGAAGAGGAAAUAAUGGAAGGAUUAUAUCUAUGGCCAGAUAAAUAAGACAGCCAUGUCCCAUCUGUAUCCGCCUCCCUAAUGCAACACAAGAACCAGAAAAGUAAAAGAAUGAUUCAAAAUAAGAGGCCACUGUCCCUGCCCACUGCAGGGCCCUCCAGCCUAGUGGGAGGAGGAUAGAAGAGGAAACAAACAUCAAGUAGGAUAUGAGUUGUAUGCAUUAAAGAGGACUUCAUGAAAAUUGAAAGUGACCACAAAGCAAUGAAAUGCACUCAAAAUCACUAAAGAACAAAGAAAAUUUUACAGAGAAUAUUUGAAGGUGGUGAUUGAAGCAAAAAAUUAAACUGAAUUGAGGUUGAUCAAGUUUGUGAACUCUUUGUACAUAUAUGAGAUUGUUCAUUUUCAGAACUACCUGGAGAAGCUUUCUUUCUUCUUUUGUCCUCCCUUUCCAAGCUGAAAGCCAAAUUAACUGUUCAGUCACAGGAAAAUACCUCACCCUCACCUCAGUGUUCACCCUUCCCCAGCCUAAAGCAUGGCUGGUGCCAGCUUAUUCAAGAAUUAGAAAAUGGUGCCCCCGCUGGGCAGAUGCAGCCCCAUAGGCAUGCACCCAACUGGGCAGCACAAUGUUGCUAUCCCUAUGGCCUCACCCCUUUGAAUGGCUUUCUUUUCAAUAUCAUAGACUCUAAUAAAGACAUGUGGAUAGAAUUCAAAGCCUGUGGGAACUUGAUCUUCUGUCAACCUUCAUCCACGUAAGGUCAUCCACAGAGUCACAUAUGAAACUGUGGAGUCUCAUAUUUUUAAUUCCUUUAAAGACACGAGAUCCCCUUCCUCACCAACUUGCUUUCCCUUCUCUUCUAGUGAGCUCUCCCUAAUGACAUGUUGAAAUAUAUUCAGUAGUUGCAGUCUAUUUCCUAGUUCUAAAUGUGUUUAGUUGAAACAACUCAAUCUUAGAUUUUUAGUUGAUGUUUAGUGUCAGAAAGAUGUUUCAAAGGAAGUGUAAGUCUAAGAUCAUUUUUAAUAUUCCUCAGUGGCAUCUCACUAAUCAGUAAAUUCCAAAUCCUCCCAAAAGUCUAGAGGUUCUACUGGCUUCUAAUCAAAACAAGAAACUAGGGAGGAGUACAAUAAGCUCAUAUUGCAAAAGCUUCUUCAUUCCUUGGUAUUCACCUUAUGGCAGUUUACAUAUACUGAAGCAUUUACUAUAAACAUUGGGAACUAAAUUAUUAAAAAAUGAAAAAUAUUUUAUUUUAUGAAGCAGCAACUAUACUGUCUUUACUUGUAUUUUUAUUCCACUUCUUUCUGAUGUAGGGGUCUGAUUCUUUUCACCAUUCGUUAAAAAUAAUGAGCUUUGGUAGAGAGCAACUUUGGAAAGGUGCCCCAUAUAUUUUAUCAAGAAAUGAAAAUCUACCACUACUUACUCCAAACAGCACAUGUAAGGGAAAUGUGAGAUAUUUUCAGUUUGAGGGUAUUUUGGAGCCAUAAUAAAUAUCAUAAACCAAUUACUUAAUUUUAUUUGCAGUGCAAUGAAGUGACAGUAAGCCAACAUCACUACAUGUGCCAUUGUAUUCUGAAGGAUAUUUUAAGAGACUUUAUGCCCAGUGGAACUACAAGGAAAUGUUCCACAGCUUGUGCAAUUUAGUCAGCUAAGCUCUCCCACAUUUUAUGUCUCCUAAUCCAUCCAAGAUAUUAAUGUGUUUAUUGGCUACGUGUGAAUGAAUUUUUCCAAAAAUCCACUAACCAAGGAAACUAUAGGUUUCCAUUCUUUUUUUUGUUCCUUGUGGUUAGAAUUUCCCACUGUUGAAUUUUGAUGAUUGUAUCACUGCGGUGUCAUUUAACAUUUUCCUCUGUUCCAUGUAAAAAAGUACUUAGAGCUUGAAUAUGUUUUUGUUUUUGUUUUUGUUUGUAAGAAUAGUUACAAGUGAUGCUAUGUGCUUCUGUCAGUAGGGAAAUAAUUUUGAGUUGUCUCUCUUUUUGUGAUGUUGCAACUAUUGAUGAUCAUUGUUAAGAUCCAUUAAUAAACUAGCAUUUUGACAA